CGGGCGCUGCGUGGCGCGUUAGGCCGAUUUAUCCCCGGGGCCAAUGAUGACUCCUCGGGGGCUGUCUCUGUCGGGACCUUGGUCUCGGUAUAUGGCUCCCACCUGCACUGCAGGCCACGGAGGGAUCGUACGUGCCGACGGCCAACGUGGCUCCGCC
rnacentral:other from 1 species